UACGGAGGGUGCAAGCGUUAUCCGGAUUCACUGGGUUUAAAGGGUGCGUAGGUGGGUCUGUAAGUCAGUGGCGAAAUCUCCGAGCUUAACUCGGAAACUGCCAUUGAUACUAUAGGUCUUGAAUUAUCUGGAGGUGAGCGGAAUAUGUCAUGUAGCGGUGAAAUGCUUAGAUAUGACAUAGAACACCAAUUGCGAAGGCAGCUCACUACGGAUAUAUUGACACUGAGGCACGAAAGCGUGGGGAUCAAACAGG
rnacentral:rRNA from 1 species